rnacentral:lncRNA from 1 species
GAUUCCAGAAGAGAAGCUUACAAAGCAUCUGCACGGUCCAGCCGCAGUUUCCUGAGAUGUGUUCUCACCAGCCGCUGGCAUUGGGUGCCUUGCUCAUGCUGGCCAUGGUGGAGAAAGACUGGAAUCUCCCAAGAAUCUUGUGCUGUUCUCAGAGAUGUCACCCCCAUCUUCCAUGGGCCACUCACAACC